rnacentral:rRNA from 1 species
GAUGAACGCUGGCGGCAUGCCUAAGACAUGCAAGUCGUACGAAGUGGCCCAAUGACGAUUGAGUGCUUGCACAAGAUUUGAUUUGGAUUUUCACUUAGUGGCGGAAGGGUGAGUAACGCGUAGGUUAUCUGCCUUCGAGUCUGGAAUAACAGUUAGAAAUGAUUGCUAAUGCCGGAUUAUAUAUAAGGAGAUACGUUUCUUUAUAUUAAAAGGAGCCUUUAAAGCUUCGCUUGAAGAUGAGCCUGCGUCGUAUUAGCUAGUUGGUGAGGUAAUGGCUCACCAAGGCAACGAUGCGUAGCCGACCUGAGAGGGUGAUCGGCCACACUGGGACUGAGACACGGCCCAG